AGUAAACAACACACCCACCUACCAAACCACACCCACCUACCAAACGAAAUAUCGCUACCCAAUCAAAAGUAUUAAAGAAAGAACUGAAAUAAAAAACACACCUUAACGGAAAUAAAAACUAAACCAAAAAGCACUAACCCUUCCUUUUGCAUAAUGAUCUCACAAGAAAACACCUCAAUAAAAAGACCACCCGAAACUUAUAGAGCUAAUUAUUAGCAUGUUACAAGACAAAAUCCCCUACUGUUACAAAAGUACGGAAAGACUAAUAAUUAGAAAGCGAAACACAUAACGAUAUAAGUGAUAUCUGGUUGCCUGAAAACAGACGAAAUCUCAUCACGCUAAAAGCGUGAUUCCACCUCCUCGGAAUAUUCUGAGGAGGUAAUAUGGAAACAACCUUAAACCUUAGGAUAAAUUUCACCAUAGAACUAAAGUAGGCUUUAAAACAGCCAACAAAAGACGUAAAAGUCUUAAACAAGACCAACCACCCUAAAAAACACAACAGGCCAACAAAAAUCACAAACACUGUAAGAACAAGUAAUUAACUACUAAUAUAAAUUAUUAAACAACAUAAAAGAACACCAAAACAAGAAAAUCUACCAAUUACUAGUAAAAUCAAUUUAGAAAGUAAAAUUCACCAACCUAAGAGAAAGGAACUCGGCUAAAUAGCUCCGACUGUUUACCAAAAACACCGCCUUUUGAAAACUCCAAUAAAAGGUCACUCCUGCCCAGUGUUAGUGCCUAACAGCACAAUAAACGGCCGCGGUACCCUAACCGUGCAAAGGUAGCAUAAUAAUUUGCCCCUUAAUUAGGGGAUGGAAUGAAAGGAAUAACGAGAGCCAUACUGUCUCCCUCUUACAACAAAUGAAACUUCUAAUUACGUGCCAAAGCGUAAUAAAAAAAGAAAGACAAGAAGACCCUAUCGAGCUUAAACAAAACCAAGAUUAAAAACUCUUGAAUUUUUAUUUUGGUUGGGGCAACCUAGGAGAACAACUAAACCUCCUAAAUAACAAAACAACUAUUUUAACAAAAAGACCCGUUACUGAUUAAAGAACAAAGUUACCGUAGGGAUAACAGCAUUAUCCUCUAAAAGAGUCCUCAUCUAAUAGAGGGUUUGUGACCUCGAUGUUGGAUCAUUAAGUCACCUUGACGCAGAAGUUAAGAGAGAAGGUCUGUUCGACCUUUAAUAAAUUACGUGAUCUGAGUUCAGACCGGCGCAAGCCAGGUCGGCUUCUAUCUCCUAUAAGAAUUUCUUAGUACGAAAGGACCAGAAAUCCGCAGGCCAUUAAACACUUAGCCUGUACACACCCCACAAGGAACAACACCUUAC
rnacentral:rRNA from 1 species